GACGAACGCUGGCGGCGUGCUUAACACAUGCAAGUCGAGCGGAAAGGCCCUGCUUUUGUGGGGUGCUCGAGUGGCGAACGGGUGAGUAACACGUGAGUAACCUGCCCUUGACUUUGGGAUAACUUCAGGAAACUGGGGCUAAUACCGGAUAGGAGCUCCUGCUGCAUGGUGGGGGUUGGAAAGUUUCGGCGGUUGGGGAUGGACUCGCGGCUUACCAGCUUGUUGGUGGGGUAGUGGCUUACCAAGGCUUUGACGGGUAGCCGGCCUGAGAGGGUGACCGGCCACAUUGGGACUGAGAUACGGCCCAGACUCCUACGGGAGGCAGCAGUGGGGAAUAUUGCACAAUGGGCGGAAGCCUGAUGCAGCAACGCCGCGUGCGGGAUGACGGCCUUCGGGUUGUAAACCGCUUUCGCCUGUGACGAAGCGUGAGUGACGGUAAUGGGUAAAGAAGCACCGGCUAACUACGUG
rnacentral:rRNA from 1 species